UAAAGGCAUGAGGCUGUGCGCAGAAACAUUUCAUGCAGCAUGUUGCUUGGCGCAAAAGAGAAAAACAAAAGAAAGAGGAAAAAACAAAACAAAAGUCCAAAAAUCCGUAAACCAAUAAAGGGUUUGCCAUCGCCUGAAAGGUUUUGGGUUUUUUUGUUUUUUGUUUGUUUGUUUGUUUUUUUCCUUAACCGCCAAACCACAGGGUGAGGCUUUGUAACACCAACCAAGAACUCCAACUCGGCUCAUCUUGGUCUUCCUGUCGUACUCGUGAUUUUAAUUGCUCCUUCUUAGUGCCUGUUUUGGGGUGUGGAGUGCCAUCCUGUGCGCCCAACGCAGCCGCUUGGAUGCCAUCUGAACCGAAGGUCUCUUCGCCUUGAGGGCCUUGCCCAUAAGCCACAGACAAAUUGCCAGCUGCACUUUUGGCCUCCGUGGGAUUGCGACUGUGUGUUAAGUUAUCGCGCGUGAAGGCAUAAUACUGAAAUUCAUUGCAACGAAUGCUCAAGUUGGUCCAAAUAGCAAAAGUAUUCGGUCUGGAAGGUGGAGCUUCAGAAUUCGGCAUGCUGGAGGAGGGCCGUGUCUUCCAUGUCUAAUGUCGCUGCACAUGGUCUGCCCUGUAUUCAUUGGCCUUUUACCCAGGGUCCAUUUUAAUUGUUAUCUGCUCAUGCAUUCUAUACCACAUAAUGAAGUGCUUCCAUUUCACCCACUGUGCCCUGGGGUUUUAUGUGUAUCUUUUCUAAUGACCCUUUAUUAAGCCAAUUUUACCCUUGAAAAUGUGAGUUUUUCUUUUGGUCAACAAGUAUUUUUAAG